rnacentral:rRNA from 1 species
UACGUAGGGUGCAAGCGUUGCCCGGAUUUAUUGGGCGUAAAGGGCGCGCAGGCGGCUACGCACGUCCGUUGUGAAAGCCCCCGGCUCAACUGGGGAGGGUCACUUGAUACUGAUCGACUCGAAGGCAGGAGAGGGAAGCGGAAUUCCCGGUGUAGUGGUGAAAUGCGUAGAUAUCGGGAGGAACACCAGUGGCGAAGGCGGCUUCCUGGCCUGUUCUUGACGCUGAGGCGCGAAAGCUAGGGGAGCAAACGGG